ensembl:lncRNA
AUUAGCCGGGCGCAUACAAAUGGGUUUCUGACAGACUCAAGCAGGUAAAACAGCACCGAGGCUCCGCAAAAGCGCGGUCACACCUGCCGGGAUGGCACCAUUUGAAAAUGCUCCAUGAAUUCAAGACAGUCCCCACCUCCUCUCCAGGUCAAAGACUGAUGAACAAUCACGAGGCAGCUUCACUGAGAAAACUUCGGUUAUUGUCACGAUGCAGUGUAAACUUGGUCUUCAGUUUCCUGCUGCUGCACCCUCAUGCCCAGAACAUUGCCUGGAACACCGUGGCCACUCACUCACUACUUGUUGAGUAAAUGAAUGAUCGGAUGAUAUCAAGAAACUGCACUCACCACAGUGAACGGUUCAUGAGCUGUCACUGUAUUCAUCAAGUCUCCUUGUCCUUCUGUGUGUCAUCAGUCAUAGCAGGCCAUAUCUCAGAGUGUGCUAUGCAUCCUUUUACUACUAGUUUGACUUUAACACCAUUUACUUCCUACU